UUAUUAUCGGAGAACAAGACCAGCUUGGUGUGCCCUGUAGUUUUCGCUCAGAAAAGUGCAUUCCAUGAUAGAUACAUGCAAAAAACUCUUACUGGAAACAAAUCCAGCAUUUGUUUUUGCAGAGACAUUAUCCAUAUCCCCAAAUCCAAUUAAAGUUUUUGAAUCAAGGAAAAAAAUCCAACUAUAAUAGCGUGCACUUAUUUUUCUCCUCCAAUUUCAACCCUAUCCUUUUCCCUGCGGAUAUGGUUUGUGGUUCUGAUCAGCACUAAAAAGUCAAUAGUGAUCGUUUUUAGUGGGUUUGUAUGUCUUGGUGGCAUUUUUCAGGCAGCACCAUCCAGCUGUAGUGCUGUACGUGAUGAAGAGUGGUCAUUGUAAACCAUGUACCUCCACUCGUGGCGGCAAUCAGGAGUUUUCCUCAAGGAGCGAAUUCUGCAAUCUGUACUCGUGGGAGUAUGGUGUUCGUAUCAGGAAAGUGUCACCAAAACGUCCCAGAGAUUGUUUGCAGUUGUGCAGGCAAGCCGGACAGGGAGAACAGUUCAUCCGCUAGAACAAAGUGCCCUGCGAUGCUAAGCCUGUUAAGGACGGAAGAUGGAGGCUGGUAUGGUAUUUAUGUGCGCACAGGGUGUUGCAUAACCAUGAAUGCCUCGGAACUUGUAGUGCACGUGGGCUUCCUAAUCUUGAAGUCUGAAGUGCCUUCACGACCGGAGCAAGCGCCACCCGGACCAGACUGGCAUUGCACUUGAGAUGGUGUUGUGAUGACCUCCUGAAGUAUGCAGCAGCAUCUCUCAUGCACAUCCUCUCUGUUGGUGCAUGAUUGCUGCAUGAUAGCGCAACCUUCAUGACAGACAAUAUGGCAUUGCUGCCAUGUUCCAUUGUGUUGCUUCCAUCCUGCAGACUAGUCAGAUUGGCUUCUUCAAUGGAAAGUAGUACUGGAUCAACAAUCUGCAUUAGCAUCCCUGUAAAUGCAUUCUCGGCAUGCUUAUGCAAGGUUAACC